rnacentral:rRNA from 1 species
GUCUUUUUGAUUAAUAAUUUAAAGUCUAAUCUGCCCACUGAUGAUAUAUUAAAGGGCUGCAGUAUUUUGACUGUACAAAGGUAGCAUAAUCAAUAGUCUCUUAAUUGGUGACUUGUAUGAAAGAUUUAAUGAGAUAUAUACUGUCUCUUUUUAAUUUAUAAAAUUUAAUUUUUUAGUUAAAAAGCUAAAAUAUAUUUAAAAGACGAGAAGACCCUAUAGAGUUUGAUAUUUAAUUAAAUUAAAAUUAUUUAUAAAAUUUAAAAUUUUAAUUUAUAUUAAAUAUUUUGUUGGGGUGAUAAAAAAAUUAAAAGAACUUUUUUUAUAAUUUUACAUUAAUAAGUGAAUAAAUGAUCCGUAAUUUACGAUUAAAAGAAAAAAUUACCUUAGGGAUAACAGCGUAAUUUUUUUUUUUAGUUCAAAUAAGAAAAAAAGUUUGCGACCUCGAUGUUGGAUUAAGAUAAAAUUUAAAUGCAAAAGUUUAAAAUUUUUGAUCUGUUCGAUCAUUAAAAUCUUACA